AAACCAACAGGGAUUGCCUCAGUAACGGCGAGUGAAGCGGCAAAAGCUCAAAUUUGAAAUCCCUCGGGAAUUGUAAUUUGAAGAGCGGCGUGGCUACCGAGUCUCAAGUCCCUUGGAACAGGGCGCCUUGGAGGGUGACAGCCCCGUAGAGUCUCACAGCAUUGGCGCCGUCUCGACGAGUCGAGUUGUUUGGGAAUGCAGCUCAAAGUGGGUGGUAAAUUCCAUCUAAAGCUAAAUACCGGCGAGAGACCGAUAGCGAACAAGUACAGUGAUGGAAAGAUGAAAAGCACUUUGAAAAGAGAGUGAAACAGUACGUGAAAUUGUUGAAAGGGAAGGGCUUGCAAGCAGACACGGCCUCGGCCGGGCCAGCAUCGGUUGGCGGGGGCGGAUAAGGCGGCGGCAAUGUAGCUCUCCCCGGAGAGUGUUAUAGGCCGCCGAGAUACGCCCAUCGCCGACCGAGGCCUGCGUUCUUACUAGGAUGCUGGCGUAAUGGUUGCAAGCCGC
rnacentral:rRNA from 2 species